rnacentral:rRNA from 1 species
UACGUAGGGGGCUAGCGUUGUCCGGAAUCAUUGGGCGUAAAGAGCGUGUAGGCGGCCAGAUAAGUCCGCUGUGAAAUCUCGAGGCUCAACUUCGAGCUGUCGGUGGAAACUGUCUGGCUAGAGUCCGGAAGAGGAGAAUGGAAUCCUGGUGUAGCGGUGGAAUGCGCAGAUAUCAGGAGGAACACCGGUGGCGAAGGCGGGAUCCUGGGCCAGUACUGACGCUGAGGAGCGAAAAGCGUGGGGAGCAAACAGGG